AGAAGGGAGGAGAAGCCCUGUGCGGCCGCGCCACCUGACUCCUAGCUCUGAAGACUCCCAGCGCCCAGGUCCCGCGGCUCUCAGAGUAAACCUUGGGAGAGGGCAGAGCAGUUCGAACGUCAACUCAACCGCGGGCGGUGGCGAAGCGCUGGGAUGUUCUACGAGCCAGGCUGGGGGAAGGAGCUGCAAAGAUUCUCGGAGGCGUCAGAGGGCUUCCUCCCGCUUCUAGGAACUGCAUACAGGGAAUGAAUGGCUUGGGAGAAAGCAGCUUCUGGUGCCUCCGCGGAUGUGGGAGUGUCAGGGAGCCCAGUGUGUCCAGUUUUGUGCCGACUGGGUUGAGUCAGUCGGUGUUAGAACGAGUGGGAAAGGCUGGGGCCACGGGAGACCGAGGAUGAGUUUGGUGGAGUCCCCAGUACUCACGGACUCUGGCGAACUCCUCCCGGAGCAGGGGUCCUCUUCUCUGGACUCUGGAUUUGGAGUUGUCAGUUUCAGACGACGACCCCUCGGAGUUCGGCCUGGCAUUGAGGCCGCGAGUAGGAGCAGGAGGCGGCGGGGUCGUGGAGAGCGCCAGAAGGCGGGCCAGGCAGGAAGCUGAGGGGAGAAAUCCCAGAGUCGCGGGCUAGCCACAGGAAGAGGACGCCGCAGAAGACCCGAGAAGAAUCGCAUGAAGCUGCAGGACAGACGAGAAAGGUGGUGGAGCUCCUGACGGCGGGAGAGUCUGGGAGCAAGGCGAGCGGCGGGAAGGGUGUGGGCAAAAGAGAGAAACAAACCCAACACAUUAGGCUCUUGUCCAGUCAACUACUUGAGGCCCCUUGAUGAAGCAUUUUGAGAAUUUACUUUGGGGGUGUAAGAAAGCUUGGUGAAAGCAACACAGAAAGUGCGAGGUCAGAGUCUCCCUUCACUUCUCUUUAAAAUGAUGCGGUUCUACGCUGUGGCCCCUGGACCAGCAGCUGUUGCCAAUACGCAGAGGCUCCAUAGCAAAGCAAAACUUGAGUCCCUACCCCAGCCUAGUUCAUGUACAUUAAACGUGGCAUACCUGUGUAAGAAGGUUUACGUUCACAGAUAAUUUCUGCAAUUCUUCCCCUUCCAUCAUCGGAAUCCUUCUCGAUGUGUCCUUUCCCAAUAAAUCAUUACCUACCCGA